rnacentral:RNase_P_RNA from 1 species
ACAGCCGAUCGGUUUGUCGCUGCCUUGUUUACUUAAACAAGAAGAGGAAAGUCCGGGCAACACAGAGCAUCAUAUUUCCUAACGGGAAGCUGUCUGUAAAGGCAGAGUAAGGUAACAGAAAAUAACCGCUCCCCCCGCGAGGGGAGUAAGGGUGAAAAGGCGGGGUAAGAGCCCACCGGUCUGUAUAGUGAUAUAUGGAGCCGUACUACUUAUGAGUUGCAAGACCAUGUAUACCGACGCACGUAGGGCUGCUCGCCCGAUGUCGGGGGGUAGGUCGCUAGAGCCUGUUGGCAACAUCAGGUGUAGAUAAAUGACAAACACCUCAUUCGUGAGGUACAGAACCCGGCUUACAGAUUGGCUGUUUUU